GCCUGAGCUGAGUCCGGUGGCUGCGGAGGGGAGAGCAGAGCACACGGGUGGAGCAGUAAGAGGAUUGUGAGAGACCAAGAGGUGUGAUAGGCAUCGCAUCACUGGCAACAUCGUGCUGUAUCUUCUAUUCUCUAAUGUCCUCAGCACUGUCUUUUCAGCCAUGCCAAUGAGCAGUCUCACUCAGAAGAUGUGGAUGGGGUGAAGCAGAAACCCACUGCUCCAUCAGGACUAAAGUUACAUCUGCUGUUUGCAACCUGAGAUUGAGG
rnacentral:lncRNA from 1 species